rnacentral:lncRNA from 1 species
AGGUGUUUGUUCAAGGUUACAACGCGAAAUAAAAAAGUAGGGUACAGUCAUGUUUUACUUAUUGGGCCUGGAUAACGAGCAAGAUAAGGUUGCAUCCCGUUUGGAGGGACGGGGAAUAUAUAUAGAAUAAAUUCUGUUCCACAAUAACCUGUUGGGUGACUGUUCCAGACAUCUAAUGGAGCAGCGGUGGCAUUUACAAGAAUUCUCUACUGAGGGUGUCAGCCAUCAUUUCAAUCUCAGCUGAGAGCUUGUCAGAGACGAUUAUCAAGCUAAUUUGUGAGGCAGAAAAACUCAAUCCAGUGACGCUGUUGAUUCCAACCUCUGUUUCCAGAUUGUCUGGAGGGACUGUUAUGGUGGAAAAUGCAAUUGUGUGACAGAGUCAGGUGCUGCGUUAUGCAUGUGCAUACGAAGGGGAGUCAGAUUUGUCCAGGGAGUCAAAUUUUGAUACAACUUUCAUUCACCUGGGCUCAUGUGGUUUGCGCUGUGCACUGGUCACUACAAACUCAAUGGAAUAGGAGCACAUAAUUAUGUUUCGUUAAAUAAGUUGCAUAUAAAGUUUACGUUUCAAAAUUGCCCAAAUUUUGUCAACGAGCUAAUGCCAUUUUUUACAGUACCUGCAAAAUCGAAUUCAAAACUGCCCAAUUGGGUGAGAAACCCCCCAAUUUGGCAACACCGGCAGUAAAUUGUUAAACAUUCCGUUGUCCUCCUUGAAUCUCGUGAUAUAAAAACUGCUGUUACUGCAUAUUUUACAUUUUG